AACUUUUAGCAACGGAUCACUCGGCUCUCGCAUCGAUGAAGAACGUAGCGAAAUGCGAUAAGUAAUGUGAAUUGCAGAUUUUCAGUGAAUCAUCGAAUCUUUGAACGCACCUUGCGCCCCUUGGUAUUCCGAGGGGCAUGCCUGUUUGAGUGUCAUUAAAUCCUCAACCCCUCCGAUUUGUUUCGGUGGGGAUUGGACUUGGAGCGUGCUGGCGAAGGUCGGCUCCUCUUUAAAUGCAUCAGCGGAGAAAAUGCCUUUUGCGCCUCUGGCCGUUCAGCGUGAUAAUGACGUUGCGCUGCGGUCGAGCUCAAGGUCCGCUUCCAAAGGUCCUCUCGGACGAUAUACAUAUGACUUUUGACCUCAAAUCAGGUAGGACUACCCGCUGAACUUAAGCAUAUCAAUAAGCGGAGGCU
rnacentral:misc_RNA from 1 species